rnacentral:tRNA from 1 species
GCCUGGGUGGCUCAGUCGGUUGAGCGUCCGACUUCAGCUCAGGUCACGAUCUCACGGUCCGUGAGUUCGAGCCCCGCAUCGGGCU